rnacentral:misc_RNA from 1 species
UAAACUUCCAUUAUAGAAGAGAAAAAGUGCAUGUAAAAUCAAAUGGUCCAAGGAUUUAUAAUUGAUGGUAGUUUGCAAUCUGCAAUCUGCACACACAUAAUGCCUUUUUCUUCACCUUCCUAUUAUGGUCUAUACUUUCCAACUCAACCUUCACAUGGAAAAGCCUACAAGACUUGAUGUGCAGAUAAAUACAAACUAAAACUAAAACUAAGCCAUACUUUAUGUUAAAGGAUGAUACACAGAGGGCUGGGGACGUUUUAAUUUG